GAUGAACGCUAGCGGCAGGCCUAACACAUGCAAGUCGAGGGAGAAGCCCUUCGGGGCAGAAACCGGCGCACGGGUGCGUAACGCGUAUGCAACCUACCUUUCACAGGGGGAUAGCCCGAAGAAAUUUGGAUUAAUACCCCAUAAUAUUAUUGGAUGGCAUCAUUUGAUAAUUAAAACUGAGGUGGUGAAAGAUGGGCAUGCGUCCUAUUAGCUAGUUGGAGUGGUAACGGCACCCCAAGGCUACGAUAGGUAGGGGUCCUGAGAGGGAGAUCCCCCACACUGGUACUGAGACAGGGACCAGACUCCUACGGGAGGCAGCAGUGAGGAAUAUUGGUCAAUGGUCGGAAGACUGAACCAGCCAUGCCGCGUGCAGGAAGAAUGCCUUAUGGGUUGUAAACUGCUUUUAUAUGGGAAGAAUAAGGAGUACGUGUACUUNGANGACGNUNCCA
rnacentral:rRNA from 1 species